rnacentral:rRNA from 1 species
UACGUAGGUGGCGAGCGUUAUCCGGAAUUAUUGGGCGUAAAGCGCGCGCAGGCGGUUUCUUAAGUCUGAUGUGAAAGCCCGCGGCUCAACCGUGGAGGGUCAUUGGAAACUGGGAAACUUGAGUGCAGAAGAGGAAAGUGGAAUUCCACGUGUAGCGGUGAAAUGCGUAGAGAUGUGGAGGAACACCAGUGGCGAAGGCGACUUUCUGGUCUGUAACUGACGCUGAGGCGCGAAAGCGUGGGGAGCAAACAGG